rnacentral:tRNA from 1 species
ACAUAGCUCAGCAGGUAGAGCACUUCCUUGGUAAGGAAGAGGUCAUCGGUUCAAAUCCGAUUGUGA